AGUAGUCAUAUGCUUGUCUCAAAGAUUAAGCCAUGCAUGUCUCAGUACAAGCCAAAUUAAGGUGAAACCGCGAAAGGCUCAUUAAAUCAGUUAUGGUUCCUUAGAUCGUACCCACAUUUACUUGGAUAACUGUGGUAAUUCUAGAGCUAAUACAUGCAAACAGAGCUCCGACCGGAGACGGAAGGAGCGCUUUUAUUAGAUCAAAACCAAUCGGCGGCGGGUUCGCCCGUUCGUCGUACAACUUGGUGAAUCUGAAUAACUUUCUGCUGAUCGCAUGGUCUCGCACCGGCGACGCAUCUUUCAAAUGUCUGCCUUAUCAACUGUCGAUGGUAGGUUCUGCGCCUACCAUGGUUGUAACGGGUAACGGGGAAUCAGGGUUCGAUUCCGGAGAGGGAGCCUGAGAAACGGCUACCACAUCCAAGGAAGGCAGCAGGCGCGCAAAUUACCCACUCCCGGCACGGGGAGGUAGUGACGAAAAAUAACGAUACGGGACUCAUCCGAGGCCCCGUAAUCGGAAUGAGUACACUCUAAACCCUUUAACGAAGAUCAAUUGGAGGGCAAGUCUGGUGCCAAGAGCCUGUCACAACCGGGUGC
rnacentral:rRNA from 1 species